rnacentral:rRNA from 1 species
UACGUAGGGUGCAAGCGUUGUCCGGAAUUAUUGGGCGUAAAGAGCUCGUAGGCGGUCCGUCACGUCGGCUGUGAAAACCCGAGGCUCAACCUCGGGCCUGCAGUCGAUACGGGCAGACUAGAGUUCGGUAGGGGAGACUGGAAUUCCUGGUGUAGCGGUGAAAUGCGCAGAUAUCAGGAGGAACACCGGUGGCGAAGGCGGGUCUCUGGGCAUUAACUGACGCUGAGGAGCGAAAGCAUGGGGAGCGAACAGG